ensembl:lincRNA
CUUAUAUAAACCAAGGAAAAUGCUAAUUCUAAGGAAAUAAAGGCUGUAACAGUUGAAAAGAAAUCUUGAAAGAUGGUCCAAGUUCAUAGCUGGGGAGAAGAGCAAAGGAUAGGAUUGAACCUGGGUCUCCUGAAUUGCAGGUGGAUUCCAUCAGAGCUACUUGAGGCUUAUACCUCUGCGUGGGGAAGACCUGUUGGAGAAGAAAAUGGCAACCCACUCCACUAUUCUUUUCUGUAGAAUUCCAUGGACAAAGGAGCCUGAUAGGCUACAGUCCAUGGGGUCGCAAAGAGUCAGACACAACUGAGCAGCUAACACUUAAUUUUCAGAAAAGAAUGAAGUCAAUGUAAGAAAAUUAAACAUCACCUUACCUUCUCAUUUAAUUUCGUGGUAUAGUAUAAACUAUUGCUUCCCGGGAUCACAGGCAGCUUGACCCCAAGAGGCAGAUCCAGUAGCUGAGUUGCUCCGACCCCCGAAAAUUGAGUUUUGUGUUCACCCUGUCGGAUACAAGGAUUUUGUCGUUCCUUAAGUUAUGUUAGUCUAGGCCAACUUAACUGCUACUCCAAUCCUGAGGAAGGAAGGAACGGAAAGGUCCCGCCCUGCCAGACAGCCUGGAAGACCUUGGUUUCCAGUCACCAGCUCCCUCAACAGCGCCACAGCCGGUUGCGCCAGCACCCGCCCAGCCCCGCCUCCUGCGGCGUUGCUGCUGGAGGGCCUUGGAAGCCCGUCGGUUACGGGCCUCACCGCGGGCACGUGACUAUUCGCCACCCUCCCCGUGGGGGCCACUCACGUCUCCGCACUGCUGGCUUUCGGUGGUCAGGCCGCUGGUGGCCGUCUUGGUGGCUGCAACAUCGGCAGCCUUGGAGCAGGCGCUAAGAUAUCAUCAUGUUUCCCUGAAAACAGUCACACAAGUUUAUCCUCCCGCAAAUGGAGAUUUGAAGUGGAACAAUAUUACAGCAACUGUAGCAAAUGUUGCUUACUCUGCAGUUUCACCUGGACCCAGUUGUGCCACGAGGCAGUCACGAUUUAUGUCUGAAAAGGUUAUUGCUGAAGAACUGGAAUAAAAUUUCAUUUUUGUUUAAAGAAUCCAACUUUUUCUAUUGAGAGUAUGCAGCCAAAUCAGAUGGACAAGUGGGGAUGGAUGUGGUUAUUCUCAAGCCUGGGCUUGGUGAACGUGUGGAUUACAGGAAGAGGGCAACCUUGGAUUCAGCAGCAAUGCUCUAACAUGCCUCUUCCCCAAGACUUCAUGAAAUCAACUAUUCGUAAGGAAAAAUAGACCAGGGAAAGCAACUUAAUUCAUGUUCUUAAAAGCAUUUACUUUGUAUUAACCUACUUUCUAAUUCAUAGGAGAUGGUGAAAUGAAAAAACGUCUGAAAUGUGCCUGAAAUGUAGUGUUUGAUUAUUGCGCUAUGAGGAAAUAUAUCUGUAAUUUAUUUUGCAAAGCCCAUUUCCUGUUACUUGCUACAGAGAUUGCUGCCACAUCUAAUUGUGUUUGUGUAGUUCCUUAAUUUGCAUGAAAGAAGAUAACAUAAAUGAAAAACUCAGGAGGAAAACUAAUUCAGAUUACUAGCCCAGGCAAGCUAAUUUGUUAUUCAUUAAAUGCUAAUGAACUCAGCACCAAUGUUUUGUUUGCUUCACUCUGUUUGAGAUUUGAAAGGUCUUUUAACAUAGUUUAAGUCUCCAAUAAACAGAUAUAUGAAAGAAAAGCAUUUCUUUUUUCUUGUGUCUGUUUGGUAGAUGUGCAGCUAUUUCUGCACUAGAAAAAUCAAGUAAAUCAAUAUGAAAAAGUUUGUUUUCUUUCUAUUUA